rnacentral:rRNA from 1 species
UAUACAUGCAGUCGAACGCGACAGUUUACUGUCGAGUGGCGAACGGGUGAGUAAUACAUAAGUAACCUGCCUUAACUAGGGGGAUAACUAUUGGAAACGAUAGCUAAUACCGCAUAGGUGUAACCAUCGCAUGAUGGUUACAUUAAAGGAGCUCCUGGCUUCGAGAUAAGAUGGACUUAUGGCGCAUUAGCCAGUUGGUGAGGUAACGGCUCACCAAGGCGACGAUGCGUAGCCGACCUGAGAGGGUGACCGGCCACACUGGGACUGAGACACGGCCCAGACUCCUACGGGAGGCAGCAGUAGGGAAUUUUCGGCAAUGGGGGAAACCCUGACCGAGCAACGCCGCGUGAAGGAAGAAGGUUUUCGGAUUGUAAACUUCUGUUAUAAAGGAAGAAUGGCUAUUACAGGAAAUGGUAGUAGAAUGACGGUACUUUAUGAGAAAGCCACGGCUAACUACGUGCCAGCAGCCGCGGUAAUACGUAGGUGGCAAGCGUUAUCCGGAAUUAUUGGGCGUAAAGAGGGAGCAGGCGGCAAUGAAGGUCUGCGGUGAAAGACUGAAGCUCAACUUCAGUAAGCCGUGGAAACCAAAUAGCUAGAGUGCAUUAGAGGAUCGUGGAAUUCCAUGUGUAGCGGUGAAAUGCGUAGAUAUAUGGAGGAACACCAGUGGCGAAGGCGACGAUCUGGGAUGCAACUGACGCUCAGUCCCGAAAGCGUGGGGAGCAAAUAGGAUUAGAUACCCUAGUAGUCCACGCCGUAAACGAUGAGUACUAAGUGUUGGGGGUCGAACCUCAGUGCUGCAGUUAACGCAAUAAGUACUCCGCCUGAGUAGUACGUUCGCAAGAAUGAAACUCAAAGGAAUUGACGGGGGCCCGCACAAGCGGUGGAGCAUGUGGUUUAA